rnacentral:rRNA from 1 species
GACGAACGCUGGCGGCGUGCUUAACACAUGCAAGUCGAACGAUGAAGCUGGAGCUUGCUCUAGCGGAUUAGUGGCGAACGGGUGAGUAACACGUGAGCAAUCUGCCCUUGACUCUGGGAUAACUGCGGGAAACUGUAGCUAAUACCGGAUACUUUCACCGGGGGGCAUCCUCUGGUGAUGAAAGAAUUUCGGUCAAGGAUGAGCUCGCGGCCUAUCAGCUUGUUGGUGAGGUAACGGCUCACCAAGGCGACGACGGGUAACCGGCCUGAGAGGGUGACGGGUCACACUGGGACUGAGAUACGGCCCAGACUCCUACGGGAGGCAGCAGUGGGGAAUAUUGCACAAUGGGCGCAAGCCUGAUGCAGCAACGCCGCGUGAGGGAUGAAGGCCUUCGGGUUGUAAACCUCUGUUAGCAGGGAAGAAGCGAAAGUGACGGUACCUGCAGAAAAAGCACCGGCUAACUACGUGCCAGCAGCCGCAGUAA